rnacentral:rRNA from 1 species
UACGCGGAUGCCUACGGGUGGCUGCAGUGGGGAAUUUUGGACAAUGGGCGCAAGCCUGAUCCAGCCAUGCCGCGUGAGUGAAGAAGGCCUUCGGGUUGUAAAGCUCUUUUGUCCGGAAAGAAAUCCGCCUGGCUAAUACCCGGGGGGGAUGACGGUACCGGAAGAAUAAGCACCGGCUAACUACGUGCCAGCAGCCGCGGUAAUACGUAGGGUGCGAGCGUUAAUCGGAAUUACUGGGCGUAAAGCGUGCGCAGGCGGUUUCGUAAGACAGAUGUGAAAUCCCCGGGCUUAACCUGGGAACUGCGUUUGUGACUGCGAGACUUGAGUGCGGCAGAGGGGGGUGGAAUUCCACGUGUAGCAGUGAAAUGCGUAGAGAUGUGGAGGAACACCGAUGGCGAAGGCAGCCCCCUGGGUCGACACUGACGCUCAUGCACGAAAGCGUGGGGAGCAAACAGGAUUAGAUACCCUGGUAGUCCACGCCCUAAACGAUGCGAACUAGGUGUUGGGGAAGGAGACUUCUUUAGUACCGUAGCUAACGCGUGAAGUUCGCCGCCUGGGGAGUACGGUCGCAAGAUUAAAACUCAAAGGAAUUGGCGGGG